rnacentral:misc_RNA from 1 species
CUAUCCUGGGCACAAAGUGGAAUA